GUAAGGUUUCAACAGGUGCAGGUGACAAGGAGGUGCUUCAGGAGAGGAGGGCACAGUCCUGGGGGUGGGGUGGGGAGGGCAGCUAGUGCCAGGUGGGGAAGGCUAAGCCUCAGCCACCAGAUGAGGAAUUUGACCUUUAUUCUGAAGGCAACGGGAAGCUCUGGGCUAGGGAGUGACAGGAUCAAAGCAGUGUUUGUAGAAGAUCAGUCUGGCUGGGCACUGGAGAGGAUACCUGAGCGAGCAGGAGAGGUGGUGGGGGGCGGGGGGCAGGGACACACCAGGCAGAGGGACAGUGUGUACAUGUCUAGAAGUCUCAGGACAGGCAAUUAUGUCACCCCCUUCCACUCUGCAGAGGGGGCCUCUCGCACCAGCCUGUCUCCAGGGCAGGUCUCACCAGCCUGCUAGGAGGGAGCUUGAAAGGGAGGUGGGGAAUUUCUCAGGGACACAGAGAACAUGAGAACACUGCCUCCUUUCUCCUCCUUCCUCCCCUACCUGGGGCCCAGCUCAGAGUAAUGGGCCCUGAGGGGGAGAGAAACGCAGCCCUGGAACUGGAACCUGGGUCCCUUUGUUGGUAGGCUCCACCUCCUGUCCUCUAAGAUAGAGGGCUGGAAGAGACAAAGAAACUAUUAGGCCCCAUUAAGAACUGUGCAUAAACCCUAGAACUCAGGAACAGAGGGAUAAUUGAGGUGAUAGUAUUGCCCAGCCCUGGAGCCCAACUUUCCUUGAAGGGGAAAUUUCUGGCCUGGGGCUGGCUGGUAGGAAUCUAAAGCCUUAGCCUUUGUGGAGAUGAAUCAUCCUAAUCUAUCUCUUUGACCCCACCUCCGCCAAAGAGAUCCCUUUUGCUCCAAUCUCAUUCCUGAAUGUGCCACACUUCAGGUAUCAAUGGGGCAAGGCCAGGAUGACGGAGGGGGAUACCUGCAGGGGAAGAGGUGUUGAGCAGGUUUCUGAAAAUGGUGACCAUUUCAGACCCUAAAUGGCGCCAUUCAUACCUAAGUGCUGAGUGGUCUCACAGUUUUAGGUAUGCUUCGGGGCCCACAGUCUCUCCCAGCCUCCAGCCCUGACUCAGCCUGAGCCCCUGGGAGCCAGAGAUAGCUAUCCCAGCUAUUCAGAGGAAGGAGAUAAGGUUUAUGGCUCUGGACAGGCUCACCCUGGGGAGACUGUGCAUACACACCUCCUCCAGCUGCAUUCCUCCCGGUCCUGACCUUGUCUUACUCAGUCUUUUCCUGGAAUUACUACAGGAAAUAGUGAGCUGUCUGAACGCACCAUUUUCAGAAAACUGCCUAGCACCUCCUCCCCUGAAGGUAUCCCCUCAAUCAUCCCGGCCUUGCCCCAUUGAGGUCUAUACAACAUCUUUUUCUUGGCUUCUGGGCAGGCCUGAUCCCAUCUAGGACCAGUGAGAAGGGGGCCCAGCCCUGUUCCUUUUCCACAGACGCAUCCUCCCCAUUCCUGGUCACUCAUUUCUGCUCCAAUGACUCCUUGAAUUAGUAAGUCCUUCCUUCAGUCUACCCUUUCACUCCCUUUCGGUGCUUAGUUAAGGAGAGGAUGCUCCUCUGUGCGUUGGCUGUUGCCGCAGACCACAGAGUACAGCUGAGGGUCCACUUCACUCCAGGAGCCCUUUAGCUGAGGGGAGGAAGGCAAAAGACAGAAGGAACGGUGAAUUCUUAGAGAAGAGUGCAUGGUCUUUUCCCAUCACAGUAGUGUCCUAUACAGUAGUGUCCUAUACAAGCAAUUAUCUUUACAAAUUACAAUUAUCUUUACAAUUAUCUUUACAAACAUUAUCAUCAUAUAAUUUAUUUUAUUUUUAAAUUUUUAUUUAUUUUUUUGAGACAGGGUCUGGCUCUGUCGCCCAAGCUGGAAUGCAGUGGCCUGUCAUAGUUCACUGCAGCCUCAAUCUAAUUUAUUUUACAUAUGAGAGAACAAAAG
rnacentral:lncRNA from 10 species